UUUAAACUUAUCUGGUAGACUCAGGCUCGCUUUUCCUGUCCGUCCGGGUCACCGGACUCCAGCUCCUCCUCUCCGAGGUGAGUGGCGGUCCCGAGCUGCCUCUGAGUGGCUCAUACCUGGCUCAAGUAUCACCUUCCUUUCCGCCUUCCAAGUGACUAGAGGUCCUGGGCCAGUCUCCCUAAAUCAAAAGGCGCUCCGGCCUCCAGCAGAAAUUUCUGCUGAGGGCUUGCACCGUGGUCCUGGAAGCUUGAAGAUUUCAGAUUGUUAAUCCUGCUUUAUUUGCGGGAAAAAGUGACUCUAGACCAUUUUGUCUUUUAGAAUAUUUGCCUGACUAGAGAAAGGUCCAAUCCAAGGUCCCAGAAGACCUAGCUGCUAUCCACAAAGACAUCUGGAGUGUCUGGCCUAAGGAAGUGAACUACAAGGGUUUAUAGGAUUUAUUAUAAAAAGAACUCAAAUUGGCUCCCUAAGUUGCCUGGGAUUCUGGCUUUUUUUUUUUUUUUUUUUUUAACUCUAGGUUGGUGUAACAUAUACAAGGGACUACUGGGACAUUCCGGUUUCUUACUAAGUCUUCUCUAGGUAUUGUGUUCUUGCUUCUCUUCCAGCUUGUAAAAUGCAAGUAAUACAAAUGUUUUCUCUAUUACACUACAUCUAGUAUAAUAUAUUGUAUUCAGAAGUCAUUGAAAACCCAUUGAAACUUGGAAAGUUAAAAUGCUUAUUAAAUUGAACAACAGGAAUUUUGUUUGCAUCUCCCAAGUGUUCAGCCCUAUGCUAAUUAGACAAAAAAGGAUCCUUGACCUCAAGGCAUUUGCGGUCUGAUAGGGGACAUAUUAGGAGUAAGAAACAAUCAAAAUGGCCAAUAGUAGUCAUUAAUCAUAGCAUGUAAUUAAGUAUCAAAUUGCACUUUAUAAGUCACACUAAAAUUUAAAAGUAAUACUGUUUUAAAUAAUGGAACAUUGAUUCCAUUUUGUUGAAUGAAUGAAAUUUGGAAGCUAGGUAUUAAAGAAGACUGAGGAAAAUUCAAGUGACUUGAAUUUAAUUCCCUCACUUCUUAUACCCCAAGAGAGGAAGUUCCAAAAUUCUCAACAAGUGCCCAUAGUGUGAUCCAGUCUUCAUUCACUGUUUUUUUCAAUAAAAGAAUAAACAGUU